AACCUGGUUGAUCCUGCCGGACCUGACUGCUAUCGGAUUGAUACUAAGCCAUGCGAGUCAUUGUAGCAAUACAAGGCAUACGGCUCAGUAACGCGUAGUCAACCUAACCUAUGGACGGGAAUAACCUCGGGAAACUGAGAAUAAUGCCCGAUAGAACAUUAUACCUGGAAUGGUUUAUGUUCCAAAUGAUUUAUCGCCGUAGGAUGGGACUGCGGCCUAUCAGUUUGUUGGUGAGGUAAUGGCCCACCAAGACUAUUACAGGUACGGGCUCUGAGAGGAGUAGCCCGGAGAUGGGUACUGAGACACGGACCCAGGCCCUAUGGGGCGCAGCAGGCGAGAAAACUUUGCAAUGUGCGAAAGCACGACAAGGUUAAUCCGAGUGAUUUGUGCUAAACGAAUCUUUUGUUAGUCCUAGAAACACUAACGAAUAAGGGGUGGGCAAGUUCUGGUGUCAGCCGCCGCGGUAAAACCAGCACCUCAAGUGGUCAGGAUGAUUAUUGGGCCUAAAGCAUCCGUAGCCGGCUCUGUAAGUUUUCGGUUAAAUCUGUACGCUCAACGUACAGGCUGCCGGGAAUACUGCAAAGCUAGGGAGUGGGAGAAGUAGACGGUACUCGGUAGGAAGUGGUAAAAUGCUUUGAUCUAUCGAUGACCACCUGUGGCGAAGGCGGUCUACUAGAACACGUCCGACGGUGAGGGAUGAAAGCUGGGGGAGCAAACCGGAUUAGAUACCCGGGUAGUCCCAGCUGUAAACUAUGCAAACUCAGUGAUGCAUUGGCUUGUGGCCAAUGCAGUGCUGCAGGGAAGCCGUUAAGUUUGCCGCCUGGGAAGUACGUACGCAAGUAUGAAACUUAAAGGAAUUGGCGGGGGAGCACCACAAGGGGUGAAGCCUGCGGUUCAAUUGGAGUCAACGCCAGAAAUCUUACCCGGAGAGACAGCA
rnacentral:rRNA from 1 species